CCUACGGGAGGCAGCAGUGAGGAAUAUUGGUCAAUGGACGCAAGUCUGAACCAGCCAUGCCGCGUGCAGGAAGACGGCUCUAUGAGUUGUAAACUGCUUUUGUACGAGGGUAAAUCCCGAUACGUGUAUCGGGUUGAAAGUAUCGUACGAAUAAGGAUCGGCUAACUCCGUGCCAGCAGCCGCGGUAAUACGGAGGAUUCAAGCGUUAUCCGGAUUUAUUGGGUUUAAAGGGUGCGUAGGCGGUUCGAUAAGUUAGAGGUGAAAGCCCGGGGCUCAACUCCGGCACUGCCUCUGAUACUGUCGGGCUAGAGUUUAGUUGAGGUAGGCGGAAUGUAUGGUGUAGCGGUGAAAUGCAUAGAGAUCAUACAGAACACCGAUUGCGAAGGCAGCUUACCAAACUACGACUGACGUUGAGGCACGAAAGCGUGGGGAGCAAACAGGAUUAGAUACCCCUGUAGUC
rnacentral:rRNA from 1 species